GAUGAACGCUAGCUACAGGCUUAACACAUGCGAGUCGCGGGGCAGCAUGGGGGUUGCUUGCAAUCCCCGAUGGCGACCGGCGCACGGGUGAGUAACGCGUAUCCAACCUGCCCUUCACCACGGGAUAACCCGGCGAAAGUCGGACUAAUACCGUAUGUUGUCCAUUGACGGCAUCCGAUUUGGACGAAAGGCUUGGCGGUGAGGGAUGGGGAUGCGUCCGAUUAGCCAGACGGCGGGGUAACGGCCCACCGUGGCUACGAUCGGUAGGGGUUCUGAGAGGAAGGUCCCCCACACUGGAACUGAGACACGGUCCAGACUCCUACGGGAGGCAGCAGUGAGGAAUAUUGGUCAAUGGGCGUAAGCCUGAACCAGCCAAGUAGCGUGCAGGAGGACGGCCCUAUGGGUUGUAAACUGCUUUUAUGCGGGGAUAAAGUGGCCCACGUGUGGGCUUUUGCAGGUACCGCAUGAAUAAGGACCGGCUAAUUCCGUG
rnacentral:rRNA from 1 species